rfam:Triticum aestivum genome assembly, contig: Triticum_aestivum_CS42_TGACv1_scaffold_253198_3DL
GUAGUACUCUCUCCGUCCAAAAAUACUUGUCAUCAAAAUGAAUAAAAGGGGAUGUAUCUAGACGUAUUUUAGUUCUAGAUACAUCCCAUUUUAUCCAUUUUGAUGACAAGUAUUUCCGGACGGAGGGAGUACUAC